UCAAUCUGGGCAGUGAUACUUCUUUCAAGAUCACAGUACAAGAUGCACUGCGUCGUUGUAGUUUUGUUCUUUGGUAUAGCCUCAGGAACCGUCGACUACAGAGGCAGGGCUACCGUGAAAGAUGUCCUAGACUUUUUCAGUACUGGCCAACCUAUAGUUUUGGCAAGAAGAAGUUAUAAUCGUUACAUUGAUGAACUCGAGCCACGGUGUAUAAAGACUGUUGUCACAAAGCGCGAUAACACUUCGCUGUGGUUUAACCAAAGCUACAUAUACGGGAAAAAAGGCGUUGAAGAAAGCAUGGUAGGACAUGUAAUGAAGAAACCAGGAAUGGAUUCUGCACCGGUAAUGAUUGUCGAAAGAGCAUAGGAUUCAGAAA